rnacentral:rRNA from 1 species
AUGAACGCUGGCGGCGUGCCUAACACAUGCAAGUCGAGCGAUCUUCUUCGGAAGAGAGCGGCGGACGGGUGAGUAACGCGUGGGUAACCUGCCCUGUACACACGGAUAACAUACCGAAAGGUAUGCUAAUACGAGAUAAUAUGCUUUUGUCGCAUGGUAGAAGUAUCAAAGCUCCGGCGGUACAGGAUGGACCCGCGUCUGAUUAGCUAGUUGGUAAGGUAACGGCUUACCAAGGCGACGAUCAGUAGCCGACCUGAGAGGGUGAUCGGCCACAUUGGAACUGAGACACGGUCCAAACUCCUACGGGAGGCAGCAGUGGGGAAUAUUGCACAAUGGGCGAAAGCCUGAUGCAGCAACGCCGCGUGAGCGAUGAAGGCCUUCGGGUCGUAAAGCUCUGUCCUCAAGGAAGAUAAUGACGGUACUUGAGGAGGAAGCCCCGGCUAACUACGUGCCAGCAGCCGCGGUAAUACGUAGGGGGCUAGCGUUAUCCGGAAUUACUGGGCGUAAAGGGUGCGUAGGUGGUUUCUUAAGUCAGAGGUGAAAGGCUACGGCUCAACCGUAGUAAGCCUUUGAAACUGGGAAACUUGAGUGCAGGAGAGGAGAGUGGAAUUCCUAGUGUAGCGGUGAAAUGCGUAGAUAUUAGGAGGAACACCAGUUGCGAAGGCGGCUCUCUGGACUGUAACUGACACUGAGGCACGAAAGCGUGGGGAGCAAACAGGAUUAGAUACCCUGGUAGUCCACGCCCUAAACGAUGUCAACUGGUUGUUGGGUCUUCAUUGACUCAGUAACGAAGCUAACGCGUGAAGUUGACCGCCUGGGGAGUACGGCCGCAAGGUUGAAACUCAAAGGAAUUGACGGGGGCCCGCACAAGCAGUGGAGUAUGUGGUUUAAUUCGACGCAACGCGAAGAACCUUACCAGGUCUUGACAUCGAGUGACAGACUAAGAGAUUAGUCCUUCCCUUCGGGGACACAAAGACAGGUGGUGCAUGGUUGUCGUCAGCUCGUGUCGUGAGAUGUUGGGUUAAGUCCCGCAACGAGCGCAACCCUUGCCUUUAGUUGCCAGCAUUAAGUUGGGCACUCUAGAGGGACUGCCAGGGAUAACCUGGAGGAAGGUGGGGAUGACGUCAAAUCAUCAUGCCCCUUAUGCUUAGGGCUACACACGUGCUACAAUGGGUGGUACAGAGGGCAGCCAAGUCGUGAGGCGGAGCUAAUCCCUUAAAGCCAUUCUCAGUUCGGAUUGUAGGCUGAAACUCGCCUACAUGAAGCUGGAGUUACUAGUAAUCGCAGAUCAGAAUGCUGCGGUGAAUGCGUUCCCGGGUCUUGUACACACCGCCCGUCACACCACGGGAGUUGGGGGCGCCCGAAGCCGGAUUGCUAACCUUUUGGAAGCGUCCGUCGAAGGUGAAAUCAAUAACUGGGGUG